UGGUCGAACCCGGUCACGUAGUCGCAAGCCUUGUCGCGCGUCCACCUCGCAUCGGCCCUGACCUCGGCAAAGGUCUUUUCGCUGGCGUAGGAAUAAAGCUGAAGCGGCUUUGAUGAAUCACUGAUCUCGGCGCGGUUGGCGAUCAGUUCCCGGUCCAGCGUGUUGAACACCACACAUGGGGUGCUGGCGUAAGUCAUCCGCAGAUCGUCCGCGAUGACCUUGGCGUUAUCCGGUGGAAGCUCGAUCUUAUAGGACAUAAGAAACGCGGCCGCUGCGAGCAAUGCGGCAAGGACAACGCCGCUCAAA
rnacentral:misc_RNA from 1 species